AAACACAUGGUGACACUAUGUCAGAUGACAACAAAAUGGCCUAGCAAUGGAAAAGAAAUGAAUUCUAUGUACAUGAAAGUUGGAGAUGUAUACAGUGCUGAAGCUGACUGAGCUCCAAGGCUCUUCACUCUCAAGCAAGGAUUAUGAACCCUGUUGCCCUCCCAGUGUUGACUGGUUGCAGUAAACAAACUCAUUAGAACAACAAAUCUGAGUUCCAGAGAAGAAGGCCUGGCAAGAUCUCAAAGCUUCUCAAAGAUUUAUGUUCUUCCAGUGACCGAUGCUGAAUCAGCUUCUCUGCAGAUAUGGAUUUGCUGAUUUUUUUAUGCUUUAAUUUGAUGAUUCUUAUUAAAAAAAAAAAUAAGCAGCAAUGUUGGUGCAUGAAAAUUUUUAUAGUUCAAUGUGUAAUUCAAAAGCAUGCCUUAUCAUUGUGUUCUGCUUAUGAUGAGUUUUUAUAAGCAGAGGUUUCAUUUUAUUUUUCACAAUUAAGCAAGUCCUUGCAAUUUUUCUUACUCCUUACUCCUACUUUGAAGA